GAUGAACGCUAGCGGGAGGCCUAACACAUGCAAGCCGAGCGGUAUUGUUUCUUCGGAAAUGAGAGAGCGGCGUACGGGUGCGGAACACGUGUGCAACCUGCCUUUAUCUGGGGGAUAGCCUUUCGAAAGGAAGAUUAAUACUCCAUAAUAUAUUGAACGGCAUCGUUUAAUAUUGAAAGCUCCGGCGGAUAGAGAUGGGCACGCGCAAGAUUAGCUAGUUGGUGAGGUAACGGCUCACCAAGGCAAUGAUCUUUAGGGGGCCUGAGAGGGUGAUCCCCCACACUGGUACUGAGACACGGACCAGACUCCUACGGGAGGCAGCAGUGAGGAAUAUUGGUCAAUGGGUGCAAGCCUGAACCAGCCAUCCCGCGUGAAGGACGACUGCCCUAUGGGUUGUAAACUUCUUUUGUAUAGGGAUAAACCUUUCACGUGUGGAAAGCUGAAGGUACUAUACGAAUAAGCACCGGCUAACUCCGUAGCCAGCAGCCGCGGU
rnacentral:rRNA from 1 species